rnacentral:rRNA from 1 species
GGGUUGUGAGGUUAAGCGACUAAGCGUACACGGUGGAUGCCCUGGCAGUCAGAGGCGAUGAAGGACGUGCUAAUCUGCGAUAAGCGUCGGUAAGGUGAUAUGAACCGUUAUAACCGGCGAUUUCCGAAUGGGGAAACCCAGUGUGUUUCGACACACUAUCAUUAACUGAAUCCAUAGGUUAAUGAGGCGAACCGGGGGAACUGAAACAUCUAAGUACCCCGAGGAAAAGAAAUCAACCGAGAUUCCCCCAGUAGCGGCGAGCGAACGGGGAGGAGCCCAGAGCCUGAAUCAGUGUGUGUGUUAGUGGAAGCGUCUGGAAAGGCGCGCGAUACAGGGUGACAGCCCCGUACACAAAAAUGCACAUAUUGUGAGCUCGAUGAGUAGGGCGGGACACGUGGUAUCCUGUCUGAAUAUGGGGGGACCAUCCUCCAAGGCUAAAUACUCCUGACUGACCGAUAGUGAACCAGUACCGUGAGGGAAAGGCGAAAAGAACCCCGGCGAGGGGAGUGAAAAAGAACCUGAAACCGUGUACGUACAAGCAGUGGGAGCACGCUUAGGCGUGUGACUGCGUACCUUUUGUAUAAUGGGUCAGCGACUUAUAUUCUGUAGCAAGGUUAACCGAAUAGGGGAGCCGAAGGGAAACCGAGUCUUAACUGGGCGUUAAGUUGCAGGGUAUAGACCCGAAACCCGGUGAUCUAGCCAUGGGCAGGUUGAAGGUUGGGUAACACUAACUGGAGGACCGAACCGACUAAUGUUGAAAAAUUAGCGGAUGACUUGUGGCUGGGGGUGAAAGGCCAAUCAAACCGGGAGAUAGCUGGUUCUCCCCGAAAGCUAUUUAGGUAGCGCCUCGUGAAUUCAUCUCCGGGGGUAGAGCACUGUUUCGGCAAGGGGGUCAUCCCGACUUACCAACCCGAUGCAAACUGCGAAUACCGGAGAAUGUUAUCACGGGAGACACACGGCGGGUGCUAACGUCCGUCGUGAAGAGGGAAACAACCCAGACCGCCAGCUAAGGUCCCAAAGUCAUGGUUAAGUGGGAAACGAUGUGGGAAGGCCCAGACAGCCAGGAUGUUGGCUUAGAAGCAGCCAUCAUUUAAAGAAAGCGUAAUAGCUCACUGGUCGAGUCGGCCUGCGCGGAAGAUGUAACGGGGCUAAACCAUGCACCGAAGCUGCGGCAGCGACGCUUAUGCGUUGUUGGGUAGGGGAGCGUUCUGUAAGCCUGUGAAGGUGUGCUGUGAGGCAUGCUGGAGGUAUCAGAAGUGCGAAUGCUGACAUAAGUAACGAUAAAGCGGGUGAAAAGCCCGCUCGCCGGAAGACCAAGGGUUCCUGUCCAACGUUAAUCGGGGCAGGGUGAGUCGACCCCUAAG